rnacentral:rRNA from 1 species
GACGAACGCUGGCGGCGUGCCUAAUACAUGCAAGUAGAACGCAGUUGCGAACGGGUGAGUAACGCGUAGGUAACUGCCUGGUAGCGGGGGUUAACUAUUGGAAACGAUAGCUAAUACCGCAUACUACCAGAUGGACCUGCGUUGUAUUAGCUAGUUGGUGGGGAAACGGCUCAACAAGGCAACGAUACAUAGCCGAGCUGGGAGUGUAAGCGGCCAAAAUGGGAAUGAGAAACGGCCCAGACUCCUACGGGGGGCAGACGUAGGGAAACGUAGGCAAGGGGGGGAAGCCUGACCGAGCAACGCCGCGUGAGUGAAGAAGGUUUUCGGAUCGUAAAGCUCUGUUGAUAAGGAAGCGGUACUUAACCAGAAAGGGACGGCUAACUACGUGCCAGCAGCCGCGGUAAUAC